UACGGAGGAUGCGAGCGUUAUCCGGAUUUAUUGGGUUUAAAGGGUGCGUAGGCGGCUUUUUAAGUCGGCGGUGAAAUUUUGCAGCUCAACUGUAAAAGUGCCUUCGAAACUGGUUUCUUGAGUGUAGCUGAAGUAGGCGGAAUUUGUGGUGUAGCGGUGAAAUGCAUAGAUAUCACGCAGAACUCCGAUUGCGAAGGCAGCUUACUAAGCCACGACUGACGCUGAGGCACGAAAGCGUGGGGAUCAAACAGGAUUAGAUACCCUCGUAGU
rnacentral:rRNA from 1 species